rnacentral:rRNA from 1 species
AGAUACCCUGUUACUUAUAAUUAAAAGAUUUUGGAAUAGUAAUUAUUAUGAAAUUUAACUGAUUUGGCGGCAAAAUAGCCAUUUAGAGGAACCUGCCCUAUAAACGAUGAACCACGAAAUACUCUACUUUUUUUUGUAAACAGUUUGUAUACCUCUGUUGUCAGUCAGUUUUAUAACAAAACUUUCUCUAAUGAUAAGAUCAUGAACUUCAAGUAAAGGUGCAGCUUAUAUAAAAGAUAGAGGUGGGUUACAUUUAUAUGAUUAAAACGGAUAAAGAUUUUGAAAAAACUUUUGAAGGCGGAUUUAAAUGUAAAGUUUAAGCAAACU